rnacentral:rRNA from 1 species
GGCGGGCUACCUGCAGUCGAACGGUAACAGGGAUUAGCUUGCUAAUCCGCUGACGAGUGGCGCACGGGUGCGUAACGCGUAUACAAUCUGCCUUUAAGCGGGGAAUAGCCCAUGGAAACGUGGAUUAAUACCCCAUAGUAUAUAGACACCUCCUGGUGAUUAUAUUAAACAUUUAUGGCUUAAAGAUGAGUAUGCGUCCUAUUAGUUAGUUGGUAAGGUAACGGCUUACCAAGACCGCGAUAGGUAGGGGUCCUGAGAGGGAGAUCCCCCACACUGGUACUGAGACACGGACCAGACUCCUACGGGAGGCAGCAGUGAGGAAUAUUGGACAAUGGAGGCAACUCUGAUCCAGCCAUGCCGCGUGCAGGAAGACGGCCCUAUGGGUUGUAAACUGCUUUUAUACGGGAAGAACCACUCCGACGUGUCGGAGCUUGACGGUACCGUAUGAAUAAGGACCGGCUAACUCCGUGCCAGCAGCCGCGGUAAUACGGAGGGUCCAAGCGUUAUCCGGAAUCAUUGGGUUUAAAGGGUCCGUAGGCGGAAUAAUAAGUCAGUGGUGAAAGUCUGCAGCUUAACUGUAGAAUUGCCAUUGAUACUGUUGUUCUUGAAUUAUUAUGAAGUGGUUGGAAUGAGUAGUGUAGCGGUGAAAUGCAUAGAUAUUACUCAGAACACCUAUUGCGAAGGCAGAUCACUAAUAAUAUAUUGACGCUGAGGGACGAAAGCGUAGGUAGCGAACAGGAUUAGAUACCCUGGUAGUCUACGCCGUAAACGAUGGUUACUAGCUGUCCGGCCUAAUUGAGGGCUGGGUGGUUAAGCGAAAGUGAUAAGUAACCCACCUGGGGGAGUACGUUCGCAAGAAUGAAACUCAAAGGAAUUGACGGGGGCCCGCACAAGCGGUGGAGCAUGUGGUUUAAUUCGAUGAUACGCGAGGAACCUUACCAGGGCUUAAAUGCAGUCUGACAGGUCUGGAAACAGACCCUUCUUCGGACAGAUUGCAAGGUGCUGCAUGGUUGUCGUCAGCUCGUGCCGUGAGGUGUCAGGUUAAGUCCUAUAACGAGCGCAACCCCUGUGGUUAGUUGCCAGCGAGUAAUGUCGGGAACUCUAGCCAGACUGCCGGUGCAAACCGCGAGGAAGGUGGGGAUGACGUCAAAUCAUCACGGCCCUUACGUCCUGGGCCACACACGUGCUACAAUGGUAGGGACAGAGGGCAGCUACCCCGCGAGGGGAUGCGAAUCUUCAAACCCUAUCACAGUUCGGAUCGCAGUCUGCAACUCGACUGCGUGAAGCUGGAAUCGCUAGUAAUCGCAUAUCAGCCAUGAUGCGGUGAAUACGUUCCCGGGCCUUGUACACACCGCCCGUCAAGCCAUGGAAGCCGGGGGUACCUGAAGUCCGUCACCGUAAGGAGCGG